AUGAUCGUUUAAAACAUCCCUAUACUUUCCCCGUGGGGCCGUGUGCAAAGACUGCAAACAGCUGGCACCUUUGUAGUGUACGCAGCCCGCUGCCUGUAUGGGCUGCCCUAAGAGACCUAGGAGACAGUU
ensembl:snoRNA LOC120102626 small nucleolar RNA SNORA70